rnacentral:lncRNA from 1 species
GUAUAACCGAGCUCCACAGCAAUAAUACUCCCAGUAAUGUGUCGGAGUGUAUAACAGAGUGCCACAGUAAUAAUACUCCCAGUAAUGUGUCUGAGUGUAUAACAGAGCUCCACAGUAAUAAUACUCCCAGUAAUGUGUCUGAGUGUAUAACAGAGCUCCACAGCAAUAAUACUCCCAGUAAUGUGUCUCAGUGUAUUACAAAGCU